CCGUCCACGGCUUCUUUUUGUCUCGGAAAGGGCAAGGACCUUCUUGGGAAGCCACUUUCUUGUAUUUUUUUUAUUUUUUAUUUUGCUUUGGAGAAUGGAUGAGCGUCUGGCUUGCAAAAUCUUCUCUCGCGGUUCAACAAUCGAAUCGAACAAUCACCGAAUCUUAUCUCUCAGUAGCGUCUCUUUCUCUCUCUGGACGACGAUGGUGUCUACAGUUUCAUUGGAAAGAAAUAUCAGCACUUUUGCCUGUUCAAUGGUAUGCUUUGUGCCUGGGUUUAUUUGCAUCAAUUAUAGCUCUUUAGGGGUUAUUUUUUGCAAGUGGCUUGAAGAGAGCUUUUCAAAUUAAGGAUUUUGGUGAUAGUAUAUUCCUGGACAUGGUGGGUUUACGGACAGAAUGGACUGUUGGGUUGGCUACUAAAAUUUUCAGUUCUUGCAGACAUUUAUUCAUACCAAUUCAUUUGUUGCCUCUAAAUUAUUCUUAUUCUUAAGAUAUUAUAUUCUCCAAUGUUAGAUUUCUUCUUUGGCUGAUUGUGAGUAGUAUGUGCUAAAAGUUUUUAUAUAUUGUUUCAUUUUCACAAUGCUCGUUACUUUGUUCCAGAUUAUUUUUAUUCUUUAGCUACACAUCUGAUUUGUU